AAAGUCCGCAAGGAUGAGUACAGUGGCGACCGGGUGAGUAACACGUGGCUAACCUACCUCUUAGUGGGGAAUAACUCCGGGAAACCGGAGCUAAUACCGCAUAACAUCGCAAGAUCAAAGCCGAAAGGCGCUGGGAGAGGGGGUCGCGGCUGAUUAGCUAGUUGGUAGGGUAACGGCCUACCAAGGCAAAGAUCGGUAUCCGGCCUGAGAGGGCGCACGGACACACUGGAACUGAAACACGGUCCAGACUCCUACGGGAGGCAGCAGUGGGGAAUUUUGCGCAAUGGGGGAAACCCUGACGCAGCAACGCCGCGUGGAGGAUGAAGUCCCUUGGGAUGUAAACUCCUUUCGACCCGGACGAUACUGACGGUACGGGUGGAAGAAGCACCGGCUAACUCUGUGCCAGCAGCCGCGGUAAUACAGAGGGUGCGAGCGUUGUUCGGAAUUAUUGGGCGUAAAGGGCGCGUAGGCGGUGCGGUAAGUCACCUGUGAAAUCUCCUGGCUCAACUGGGAGCUUGCAGGCGAAACUGCCGUGCUGGAGUGUGGGAGAGGUGCGUGGAAUUCCUGGUGUAGCGGUGAAAUGCGUAGAUAUCAGGAGGAACACCUGUGGCGAAAGCGGCGCACUGGACCACAACUGACGCUGAGGCGCGAAAGCUAGGGGAGCAAACAGGAUUAGAUACCCUGGUAGUCCUAGCCCUAAACUAUGGAUGCUUGGUGUGAUCGGUACCCAAUCCGAUCGUGCCGAAGCUAACGCGAUAAGCAUCCCGCCUGGGGAGUACGGUCGCAAGGCUGAAACUC
rnacentral:rRNA from 1 species